GGCAGGCCUAACACAUGCAAGUCGAGCGGCAGCGGGUCCUUCGGGAUGCCGGCGAGCGGCGGACGGGUGAGUAAUGCCUAGGAAUCUGCCUGGUAGUGGGGGAUAACUCGGGGAAACUCGAGCUAAUACCGCAUACGUCCUACGGGAGAAAGCGGGGGAUCUUCGGACCUCGCGCUACCAGAUGAGCCUAGGUCGGAUUAGCUAGUUGGUGAGGUAAAGGCUCACCAAGGCGACGAUCCGUAGCUGGUCUGAGAGGAUGAUCAGCCACACUGGAACUGAGACACGGUCCAGACUCCUACGGGAGGCAGCAGUGGGGAAUAUUGGACAAUGGGCGAAAGCCUGAUCCAGCCAUGCCGCGUGUGUGAAGAAGGUCUUCGGAUUGUAAAGCACUUUAAGUUGGGAGGAAGGGCAGUAAGUUAAUACCUUGCUGUUUUGACGUUACCGACAGAAUAAGCACCGGCUAACUUCGUGCCAGCAGCCGCGGUAAUACGAAGGGUGC
rnacentral:rRNA from 1 species